AUUGAGAAAAAAGGGCCCUUAUACGUCUCGAUGUUCAAUCCUUUGUUCUUAGUUAUUUCUGCAUUUCUUAGUUGGAUUUUGCUUCGUGAGAAAUUAUACCUUGGCGUAGUUUUAGGGUCGAUUAUCGUCGUGGCUGGGAUGUACGGCUUUUUGUGGGGCAAAAAGAUGGAGACAAGUGCAGAGGAUAUUGAUGUACUAGAAUUAACAAAAGAGAAGAAGCAAUUAUCCACUAAAUUACAAGUUGAUUUGGAAUUGCAAUUAACUCAGAAUCCCAAGGAUAAUAACAAUAAUAAUAUGAAGCAGAUCACAAAAUCCAAAACUGAACUAUGAUUGAUUGUGCAGUCAAAAAAAAAU
rnacentral:misc_RNA from 1 species